rnacentral:rRNA from 1 species
UAGUCCACGCCGUAAACGAUGAGUGCUAGCUGUCGGGACAUUAGUUUCGGUGGCGCAGCUAACGCGGUAAGCACUCCGCCUGGGAAGUACGGUCGCAAGAUUAAAACUCAAAGGAAUUGACGGGGACCCGCACAAGCGGUGGAGCAUGUGGUUUAAUUCGAGGCAACGCGAAGAACCUUACCAGGACUUGACAUCCUUAUCGCGCGCACCAGAGAUGGAGCGUUUCAGUUCGGCUGGAUAAGUGACAGGUGCUGCACGGCUGUCGUCAGCUCGUGUCGUGAGAUGUUGGGUUAAGUCCCGCAACGAGCGCAACCCCUAUCCUUAGUUGCCAACAGGUCAAGCUGGGGACUCUAGAGAGACUGCCUCCGCAAGGAGUGAGGAAGGAAGGGACGACGUCAAAUCAUCAUGGCCUUUAUGCCCAGGGCUACACACGUGCUACAAUGGCAGGUACAGAGGGGAGCGAUACAGCGAUGUGGAGCGAAUCUCAGAAACG